AUAGUUUUCAGCGCCUUGAAAUUUGAACGAAACAGAAACAAAUCUUCUCUGAACUAUUCGCGCAGAAUGAAAUCGAGAACCAAAUUUUUCUCACAGCCGUGCAUUAUUUAUUAUUAGAAGUGAAAAGAUAAAUAUGCAAAUUGAGUCAACGAAAGACUUAAGUCGCGAACUUUUCUUGCACACAACAUUAAAAAUUGUUCCACAAAUGAACGGUUCACCCUAAUGCAAAAAAAGCCAAUGAAAGACUUGAGGUAGGAUUUUUUUGUACAGAAAUUGAAAAUUUGUGUCAUAAAUGACAGUUCACCCUAAUGACGAACGAUCUGUAAGUUGAAAUGAUUCAGCUUUCGUCUGACGUAGAAUUGACAUUCAUGGUUCACCCUCUCUCAUUCUAAACCUUAAGUUCUUUAAGUCCUGAAAGUUUCGUUCUCAUUAUGUCCUUCUUGAGAGAUUUUUUCUCACUUUGAGAACGUACCCAAGAGUUUUGUUCGCAUUUUGUUCGUUGCGGAUUUUUGU